rnacentral:rRNA from 1 species
UACGUAGGGGGCGAGCGUUGUCCGGAAUCAUUGGGCGUAAAGCGCGUGUAGGCGGCCCGGUAAGUCCGCUGUGAAAGUCCAGGGCUCAACCCUGGGAUGCCGGUGGAUACUGUCGGGCUCGAGUCCGGAAGAGGCGAGUGGAAUUCCUGGUGUAGCGGUGAAAUGCGCAGAUAUCAAGAGGAACACCUGAGGUGAAGACGGGUUGCUGGGCUGACACUGACGCUGAGGCGCGAAAGCUAGGGUAGCAAACGGG